rnacentral:rRNA from 1 species
GAUGAACGCUGGCGGCGUGCUUAACACAUGCAAGUCGAACGGAAAGGCUCCUGCUUGCAGGGGUACUCGAGUGGCGAACGGGUGAGUAACACGUGGGUGAUCUGCCCUGCACUUCGGGAUAAGCCUGGGAAACUGGGUCUAAUACCGGAUAGGACGAUGGUUUGGAUGCCAUUGUGGAAAGUUUUUUCGGUGUGGGAUGAGCUCGCGGCCUAUCAGCUUGUUGGUGGGGUAAUGGCCUACCAAGGCGUCGACGGGUAGCCGGCCUGAGAGGGUGUACGGCGACAUUGGGACUGAGAUACGGACCAGACGCCUACGGGAGGCAGCAGGGGGGAAUAUUGCACAAUGGGCGCAAGCCGGAUGAAGCGACGCCGCGUGGGGGAUGACGGCCUUCGGGUUGUAAACUCCUUUCGCUAGGGACGAAGCGCAAGUGACGGUACCUGGAGAAGAAGCACCGGCUAACUACGUG